UGGCGGACGGGUGAGUAACGCGUGGGUAACCUGCCUUAUACAGGGGGAGUAACAGUCAGAAAUGGCUGCUAAUACCGCAUAAGCGCACAGAGCUGCAUGGCUCGGUGUGAAAAACUCCGGUGGUAUAAGAUGGACCCGCGUUGGAUUAGCUUGUUGGUGGGGUAACGGCCCACCAAGGCGACGAUCCAUAGCCGGCCUGAGAGGGUGAACGGCCACAUUGGGACUGAGACACGGCCCAGACUCCUACGGGAGGCAGCAUG
rnacentral:rRNA from 1 species